UGCAGGAAAGGACGAUGCGCCGAAGAAUCGGACGAAGCGUCGAGGGACCAAUGACAUGCCGGACAACUUGGUUAAUUGCUUAGGAUUAAUUGUCUCGAUCGAAGUUUUUGUUUUAAGUGUGCAGGAUUAACUACGAUGAAAGUUAGACAAGCAGCAGGAGUUGCGCCGGAGUCAAGUUCAUGAUCACGUUGGGAGUUCGAGAGUUCGACGGAAGUUCGGACGGUCGUCGGAGG
rnacentral:lncRNA from 1 species